rnacentral:rRNA from 1 species
AGUGAACGCUGGCGGUAGGCCUAACACAUGCAAGUCGAACGGCAGCACAGUAAGAGCUUGCUCUUACGGGUGGCGAGUGGCGGACGGGUGAGGAAUACAUCGGAAUCUACUUUUUCGUGGGGGAUAACGUAGGGAAACUUACGCUAAUACCUCAUACGACCUACGGGUGAAAGCAGGGGAUCUUCGGACCUUGCGCGAUUGAAUGAGCCGAUGUCGGAUUAGCUAGUUGGCGGGGUAAAGGCCCACCAAGGCGACGAUCCGUAGCUGGUCUGAGAGGAUGAUCGGCCACACUGGAACUGAGACACGGUCCAGACUCCUACGGGAGGCAGCAGUGGGGAAUAUUGGACAAUGGGCGCAAGCCUGAUCCAGCCAUACCGCGUGGGUGAAGAAGGCCUUCGGGUUGUAAAGCCCUUUUGUUGGGAAAGAAAAGCAGCAGGUUAAUACCCCGCUGUUCUGACGGUACCCAAAGAAUAAGCACCGGCUAACUUCGUG